rnacentral:lncRNA from 1 species
CUGUGUCCAGAAUGGAAUCUAUCGAAGCCUUGGUGUAUGCUCCAAGUUAAGAUGAUCAUAUCAGCAUGUUUACUCCUGGAUGUAACUGACAUUGUGUAACCCUAGUACCCCUGGUAUUUAUAUAAACCGGAGGGUGUUAGUCCAUAAGGCAGAUUAAGAUCAAUACUCCUAGGGUUUUAGACCACAUAAUACGAUCUCGAGG